UACGUAGGUGGCAAGCGUUGUCCGGAAUUACUGGGCGUAAAGCGUGCGCAGGCGGCUUUGCAAGACAGAUGUGAAAUCCCCGGGCUUAACCUGGGAAUGGCCGUCGAAACUGGCGAACUGGAGUGUGGCAGAGGGGGGUGGAAUUCCGCGUGUAGCAGUGAAAUGCGUAGAGAUGCGGAGGAACACCGAUGGCGAAGGCAGCCCCCUGGGCUGACACUGACGCUCAGGCACGAAAGCGUGGGGAUCAAACAGG
rnacentral:rRNA from 1 species